GAUGAACGCUGGCUACAGGCUUAACACAUGCAAGUCGAGGGGAAACGCCGGGGAAGCUUGCUUCGCCGGGCGUCGACCGGCGCACGGGAGAGUAACGCGUAUCCAACCUGCCUCUGACUGAGGUAUAACCCGUCGAAACUCAGCCUAAUACGGCAUGGUAUCGUCUGCGGGCGUCCAACGACGAUUCAAGGUUUCAUCGGUCGGGGAUGGGUAUGCGGCUGAUUAGCUUGUUGGCGGGGUAACGGCGCACCAAGGCUACGAUCAGUAGGGGUUCGGAGAGGAAGGUCCCCCACAUGGGAACUGGGACACGGUCCAAACUCAUACGGGAGGCAGCAGUGAGGAAGACUGGUCAAUGGGCGAGAGCCUGAACCAGCCAAGUAGCGUGCAGGAAGGCGGCCCUAUGGGUUGUAAACUGCUUUUAUGCGGGGAUAAAGUGAGGGACGUGUCCCUCAUUGCAGGUACCGCAUGAAUAAGGACCGGCUAAUUACGUG
rnacentral:rRNA from 1 species